UCGGCCGUGCCUCCCGCCGUAGAGCGGCGGAACCGCCGGAACGCACGGAGCAGCACUUCCGGUUGGGCGGGGCACGGAGCAGCACAGGGAGGGCGGAAGUGGCAGGAAGUCACGUGGCUAGGCACGAUCACGCGCUGCGCAUGCGCUUCCCACGCGCUGCGAGGGGCGGCCAUUGUGUGGGUUGUUGUGCUUUUCGCGCGCUGCAGGGCUGAGCGCGAGGCGCGACCGUUGGGCUUUUCCAGUCAGCGCUGUGGCGGCCGCCCGUAUCGGGGUGUGUGGUUACCGGGCUCCGAGCCGCUCUACCUGUUGCUGCUGUGCGUUGUAGUUACCCUACAAUGAGAUAGAAGUAUCUGCAGGAUCAUCCCCCGCGCAGUUCUGCUCCAGUAUUGCCCAUAGCACAGCCCAGCAGCAUGAGCUACAAGCAAAUAAUGCCAGUUAAUCAUUCUAGAAGCUUUUUGUCUCCUUCCCUGGUUAUUUAUGACUAAGUAAUUACAGACUGGCUCUCUAGCAGGCUUCGGGUGGAUGGUUAAGUACAAGAAAGAUGAAUUACAGUUGCAGCAAAUGCAGGAGGGCAUAGUGGAGAACUAAAGACAUUGUAACAAGCCCACAAGCAGGUGUCAGCAACAGAAGAGCCAGCAGUGCUGUACUGCUCGCCUCAGGAUGGCUGUUAGGGAAACAGGACUUGGGGUGCUGCUUCCAAUCUGCUCCUUGUGUUUGAGCAGCUUCACAGUUGAUGUAGCAACGAAUGCAUCACCCUGGCCUUUGCUUCAGGGCUGAAGAGAACGUGCUUUGAAACAUGGAUGUCUGCUGUCCUCAGGAAGCUGUACAGCAUCUCUCUGUCAGACCAAGAACAUUAUCCAGAGGGCUUGCUGUGUUCUUUGUCCAGACAGAGGAUCUGCUGGAAUGUGUGGAAGCUUCUGCCAUGUCUGGGUCAGUUUGAAAGAGACUAAUCCAGAAGAUAGGAACAGCUCCUAGAGCACACACUUGUGCUUAAAGGUAUGUGCAUAGCAGAGAUUCCUAGAUUGAUUUUAGUUACAGAAUAGUUCAUAACUGGGUAAUGACACUAGCUGUGAAGUGUUCUAAUGAAAAUUAUGGAAGGGGAGUUGAAAAGCUGGUAUCUCAGACAUUUGAAACAAAUAUUCUCCUUUCUUUGCUUUGGUUUGU